UCCCGCUUAGCUCAGUUGGUAGAGCGCAUCACUAGUAUUAUCUCCUGAUACAAAAAAUUUAAUCGGUUAUGAUGAGGUCCAUCGUUCGAGUCGGUUAGUGGGAA